rnacentral:rRNA from 1 species
UAGCAUAAUCAUUAGUCUUUUAAUUAAAGACUUGUAUGAAAGAUUUAACAAUUUUAUUACUUUUUUUAAUUUAAUAUUUUUAAAUUAUAUUAUAAAUAAAAAUAUUUAUAUCUAAAUAAAAGACGAUAAGACCCUAUUAAACUUUACUUUAGUUAAGCUGGGGAAGCUAAUUAAUUAUUAUUUUAAUGUAUUUUUUUAAAAACUACCCCUGUAACACAGAUUAUAUUAAGUUACUAUAGGGAUAACAGCGUAAUUUUUUUUAAUAGAUCUUAUUUAAAAAAAAUAUUGCGACCUCGAUGUUGAAUAGUUUCCUAAAAAAUGCAAUAAUUUUUAAAGGUGGUCUGUUCGACCAAUAAUUUUCUACA